CAGUGGGGACAUUUAAUACUGCUACACCGGUUCAUUUGAAAGAAAUUCUGUCUCUUCGAAACAUCAUCCCUGAAGUCAAAUAAGUGAUGUCCAACUGCGUACUGAACCCGAACUCGAGAUUGUAAUGUAGUUUUGCGAUUGGCCGAGGGGCCGAACCAAUGGACUCAUUUACGGAUUAGACGCGCACAUCCCACGCAGAGUAAGAACGGAGACCUCUUCUCCGAACGGGCGGGAGACACUUAUUUUUCUUCAAAUCACCAUUGACUUUCUACUUGCAAAAUGGAGCUUGGAAAAAUGGCGUUUCUUCUCCUGCUGCUCUUGUUAGGGACACUUGACGCCUUCGAUAAGUUAGAUCAGGAACCAACAGAAAGACCGAUCGGAUUCCCGACACGUGUUUGCAAAGAACACGUAAUUCGAAAGGAUGCGACGCGGAUCUUCGGGGAAUCGCGCCAAAAUGACCGCUCGUCUUGCGCAAUGGAGUGUCUGAAGGUGAGGGGAAGGAGAUGCGGCAUUUACCAAUACUGUAAUAAUGGGAGCUGCACUCUCUACCGAUUUAGAUGGUGGCUUUCGUGGUGUGGGGGAAGGGCCCAGAUGAAGAAGGAAGGCUGUAAUCUGUACAUAAAGACAUGGCGCAGGAGAGGCAGGUAAACGACCUCGAGAUAACAGAAAAGGUCAAAGGUCAAGUGGAUGUUCAAGGUCGCAGUGCUGACAUAAGAAUAAUUACGAUUUUGGUAAUUCUCAAUUCUGGACUGGAGGAAUUCAUAUUUUCGCUCGCACAAUGGAAAAUUUUAAGGCCGUAGGCCAAAUCUAAAAUGGUGUCUUUCGUGACAACAUUUUGGGGGAAAAGUGAAAGAGCUUUCAUCAUGAUUUAUAGCAUUUUUAAUCUCCCCCCAAAAUGUUCAUUGUCACGAAUUCAAGAAGAACAACUGUUGAUAGUUUCACAGAACUGUUCUCCUUCAGGUUCAGGGACUGACUGAAAA